rnacentral:lncRNA from 1 species
CAUCAUGUUGAUCGCCUCCUUACAAUUUGCACUCAUCAUGUUGAUCCCAAUAAAUUUUAUAGUCGGAUUUAAAGUCAUAAAAUUAAGGUGAUCAUUUACAUCUUGACGAGGUAGCCAAGGCCCACCUAUAUACUUCUUAUAAGGAUAUUGGAUAAGUCCAUAGUCUCUGAAUUUUUUUAUAGCAAAAUCAAGAAAUUUUUAAAAUCCAGCCUCAUAUUCUGACG